rnacentral:rRNA from 1 species
UUUUUCAAGAAGCUAUAUAAGAAGGAAGAGGCGGUCGACCCCAAGGAAAUUCUGGACCUAAUAGGAAACCGAGUGAGCGGGGACAUGAACGACGUGUUGACAAAGCAGUUCACGUCGAAGUAAAUAAGUAACGCCCUUUUUCAAAUAGGGCCUCUGAAAGCCCCCGGCUCUAACGGCUUUCUGGGUAAUUUUUUCCAAAGGAACAGGGGGGAGCUGAAAGAUGAUGUAAUCAGAGCAGUCCUUGAGUUUUUUGAGAGGGGGGUUCUACCGGAUGGAAUCAAUGAUACAGUGAUCGUUCUCAUCCCCAAAGGAAGUGAGCCGCAGUCGAUCAAGGACUAUAGGCCGAUCAGUCUGUGCAACGUCAUUUAUAAGGUGGUGUCAAAAUGCCUUAUCAAUAGACUACGACCAUUAGAUUAGAUUAUUUCCGAAACGCAGAGUGCCUUUAUCCCAGGUAGAAUGAUCACAGACAACGCCAUCAUUGCGUUCGAAUGCUUCCACAAAAUCAAACACUCCAAGAAUGUCAGAGAUAAUUACUGCGCAUAUAAGCUGGACCUUGCCAAAGCCUACGAUAGAGUGGAUUGGGAUUCCUUGGAAGGAGUGCUCUGGAAGUUUGGUUUAUGCAGGAAAUGGACGGACUGGGUUAUGCAGUGUGUGCGAACCGUGAGGUACUCAGUGAGAUGCAAUGGAGGACUCUUGGACCCGUUUAUCCCAUCUAGAGGGCUGAGACAAGGGGACCCCCUAAGCCCCUACCUGUUCCUGUUUGUUGCGGAUGGCCUAGUGCACUUGCUUAAGAAGGAAAUCACUGGAAACAAUUUGACACCCAUUAAGACUGCGAGAAACAGCCCGAGCAUAUCAAACCUCCUCUUCGCGGAUGAUAGUUUGAUUUUCUUCAAGGCCACGACCGAGCAAGCCGAAACCAUCAAAAGAGUGUUGACCACUUUUCAGAAGUGUACGGGACAACUUCUAAGUGAGAGCAAAUGCUCAAUUCUCUUCAGUGAGGCUUGCCCGGGGGCAACUAGAGCGGACAUUAAAAAUAUCCUGGGGGUACAGUCAGAUACUUUUGAAAGCAAGUACCUAGGUUUGCCGACGCCGGAAGGGAGAAUGAAGGAUGACCAAUUUCAGUCGAUACUGGACAGAUUUGGGAAAAGAUGCAAUGACUGGUCGAAAUGGUUUAUGUCUUAUUCGGCUAAAGAGGUCCAUGUCAAAUCAGUGGUCCAGGGCCUUCCUACGUAUACAAUGAGUGUGUUCAUGCUAUCCAAAGGGUUUUGUGAGAAGUACGAGAGAAUGAUAAGAGAUUUCUGGUGGGGGGAAGAUGGGCAUAGAAAGGUCCACUGGAUGUCUUGGGACCGCAUGACAAAACCGAAGAGGGAUGGGGGUAUUGGGUUCAGAGAUAUGCACCUCUUUAACCUGGCACUCCUCGCAAAGGAAGGGCGGAGACUGAUCCAAAACCCUGAUAGCCUCUGUGCGAGAGUUCUUAAGUCAAAGUAUUACCCCAAUGGAAAUAUCCUAGACACCGUCUAUGUGUCAGAUGUUUCACCGGUGUGGAGGGGUAUCGAGUUUGGAUUGCAGCUACUGAAAAAGGGGAUAAUAUGGAGGGUUGGAGAUGGAAAAAUUAUACAAAUCCAACGAGAUCAGUGGUUGCCUAGAAGGGAGGGUCUCAUGACGGCUGCAUUCAUAAGGAGGUCCAGACUCCGCUGGGUGAAUCAACUUAUGAGCCCGGAGAGGAAGGAAUGGAACGAAGGCCUCAUCCGUCGGAUCUUCUACCCUUUCGAUGCCGAGAUAUGCAAACUCCUGAUCCCAAUCUCAAACGCAAGAGACCAACUUGCUUGGCAUUUUGAAAGCAACGGAGUCUUUACGGUUAAGAGCGCGUACAAGUUAGCUACAAAACUUGACCAACAGGAGCCCUCCCCUUCCAGUUCAACAAGGGACGCCGCCGAUCGGAGCAUAUGGGACCUGAUUUGGAAAGCUAAAGUGGUAGGGAAAGUGCGGAUAUUCGGGUGGCGAGUGGCUACAAAUACACUAGCCACUAAAGAAAACAAGCACAAACGCACCCUGAGACAGAUGCAACAUACAUCAUUUGCGGUCAUGGGGUGGAAAAUGAGUAUGUGA